AAGUAGCCUAUUUGGCUCAGAUAUGACUCUUUCCUUUAAUGACCAAAAUGGUCUACAUGUGAGUAGUAUCAUCAUUGCCUAUUUACAUAUCUCAACAUCCCCCCUCAAGUUGAAGGGGGGAAACCACCUUUAACUUGGACAAUAGAGGAGAAAGAGCAGUCUCAGAUAAUGCCUUGGCCAACGGAUCAGCCAGCUGCUGAGAAGUGGAAACAUGGGAAAGCUUUAGGAAACCAUUGUGUAG
rnacentral:lncRNA from 1 species